UACGUAGGGCGCAAGCGUUGUCCGGAAUUAUUGGGCGUAAAGCGCUCGUAGGUGGCUUGUCGCGUCGGGUGUGAAAGCUUGGGGCUUAACUCCAGGUCUGCAUUCGAUACGGGCUGGCUAGAGGUAGGUAGGGGAGAACGGAAUUCCUGGUGUAGCGGUGAAAUGCGCAGAUAUCAGGAGGAACACCGGUGGCGAAGGCGGUUCUCUGGGCCGUACCUGACGCUGAGGAGCGAAAGCGUGGGGAGCGAACAGG
rnacentral:rRNA from 1 species